GUUACCAAGUGUUUUGAGGGCUCACUUUGGAGCCUCUGAAAAGGAGGGGUCAGGGCCCAUGGAAGGUACCUGAGGGAUUCAGGAGAGAGAGGGGAAAGAGCAGACAGGAGGGAGGAGAGAAGGAGGGAGGGGGAGAAAGGGUGUGUGAGGGCCAGGAGCCAGGAUUCACCCUGACAGUUCAGUGACUGCUCCCUGACCCCAAGGUUCCCACUGUGGCACCUUCCAGCAGGUGGUUUCCAUCUCUUAUUGAUGUCCUGAGAACUUGGCUCUACAGAAUGGUCCCACCCUAUUUGUCUGGCAUGAGUCCUGCAAAGUUUCUUUUCAUCAUUUGGGGGAUGAGAUGGGGGUAUAUAGGUUUGCAAGUGACUAGGAGCUAAGUCAGGACCUUGUGGAGCCACUCAGAGUUAACUGUCAAGUAGCCUCCUUUCCCCCUUCCCUUGCAGGAUGAUUGCCUGCAAGACAGGGCCUGGAGGCCAGGGCACCCAAGGCCACAGAAAUGCCCAGGGAUGAGUCCUGGCUGGAGAUGCCUUGGCCGAGCUGACUGUGCACUUCCAGGGCUCACAGGGGUCUGGCCAGGAGACUGAGCAAGGGGACCAGGGAGGUUGUGUAGCAGGCUUCUGCACAGCAAGGCAGACAUUCUUCUUGGAGCCCCCAACCCAAAUCAGGUCUUCCACCUCCUCUUCCUAAAGACCCUUUACUGCUGUCGUUCCUUUACUGAACUACAAGUUUAGAGGACAUGGAUUUCAGUGCCCUCAUCUGGCCAACCAUCUUCAGCUGCCAAUGGACAAGUGUCUUCCUGGUACUGCACAUGAAGAUGUCCCGCUCUCCCCUGCUCAAGGAGAGAGUGCCUGACCUGAGCUGGGCCCAUCAGAUCCAGUACUUACCUGGAAUAGGAAAAAGAUGGGGAGAGUGACCAAAGACUACAAAAAUCUCUGAAGCUUAUCUACUUGAGAGAGAGUCCCUGAAGAUACUGGCCUCUCAUUCCUGCUAUGUAUAUCCAAUGUGACUGAACUCUGAAUAAAAUAUACAAGUUAUAACAAUGUAGCAAUUGACCCAGCAAACGAGGACACAAACGUGUUGAAGGGUGUCUACGGAGAAAUAGACAAGCGAUGCACGACAGAUACAUGUGUCAGUCUGGUCCCUGCAGUUGUAUUUGUAAUAAUACACAUUGGAGCAAUUUCAUGGCCAUCGGUUAGAGAAUGUUUGAGGAAUGAUCCUUUCAUAUCAAGAAGGACAUUUCAAAGAUCAAAACCUGAUGGAAAUGCUGGAGACCAUGGCGCUGAUAGGAGCUCAUGCGUGUUGUCCAAUUACUACGUGACAGGCAUUGGCUCCAUGCUUUUCCUGCACUGCUCAUUUAAACACUGGACAACCUAAGUGUUCUGAUUUAGCCCAUUGGACAGAUAGAAAUGGAGGCACAGAAGAUUAAUGUGUUUAACUUCAAACCCUGGCAGAUUAGGUUUUUCAUCCAGAGCCUGUGGCUUCACCAUAGCUGUGAUUCACGUUCUGUCAUUCUCCUCUUUAGGAAUUUCCAGUAUUCCAAAUAUGAGAAGCUGAGAAAACAAACAACAAACUCAAAACCCUAAAAACCAGGAUACGUAAGGGUAGAUGUUUGUUGGGUGUGGAUUAAAAAUGGACUUUUUUUGCCCCAAGCAACAAAGAGGCACCUUAGAAAAUAGACAAGAGACAAGAAGAAGAGAAGCUUUAAGAGAUAUUUGGUCCAAGGAAGAGACUCUUCAGAUGGAAGGUCACGUCAGCUAGAAACAUUAAUAUGACUGGAUGGGCUCAAACCACUGACUUUUCAGUCAACAUCCGACAGCACUAACCUAGUGUUCCAGAGACACUGCUUGUUAAACAGUGAAAGCUGUUGCUCAAUUGUGUCAUCCGUAAUUGUCAAAUAUUGCCAUUUAGUAGCACAAGGAAGUAUUCUCCGUUGCCAAGCUAGAGCACCCAUAACUCUUCUGUUUUGUUGAACAUUCUUCCCCACCACAAACCCUCUUUAGAAGACUGGGGGCUC
rnacentral:lncRNA from 1 species